CCUACGGGAGGCAGCAGUGAGGAAUAUUGGUCAAUGGGCGAGAGUCUGAACCAGCCAAGUCGCGUGAAGGAUGACGGCCCUAUGGGUUGUAAACUUCUUUUAUAAAGGAAUAAAACGAGGCACGUGUGCCUUUUUGCAUGUACUUUAUGAAUAAGGAUCGGCUAACUCCGUGCCAGCAGCCCCGGUAAUACGGAGGAUCCGAGCGUUAUCCGGAUUUAUUGGGUUUAAAGGGAGCGUAGAUGGGUUGUUAAGUCAGUUGUGAAAGUUUGCGGCUCAACCGUAAAAGUGCAAUUGAUACUGGUAGUCUUGAGUACAGUAGAGGUAGGCGGAAUUCGUGGUGUAGCGGUGAAAUGCUUAGAUAUCACGAAGAACACCGAUUGCGAAGGCAGCCUACUAAACUGUGACUGACACUGAUGCUCGAAAGUGUGGGUAUCAAACAGGAUUAGAUACCCGAGUAGUC
rnacentral:rRNA from 1 species